rnacentral:sRNA from 1 species
GUAAUGAAAAAGGAUUGGAUCAUAAUUUCUCAACACCUAGAACACCUCAACAAAAUGGGGUUGUAGAAAGAAAAAAUUGAAUCUUGAAAGAAAUGGCCUGAACCAUGCUUUGUGAAACCAAUAUACCAAAGUACUUUUGGGCAGAAGCUGUCAACAUAGCAGCUUACAUCCUCAAUAAAGUCUUAAUAAGGGCCAUGAUAUCAAAAACCCCAUAUGAACUAUACAAAGGUAGAAAACCAAACAUCUCUCACCUUAGAAGCUUUGGCUGUAAAUGCUUUGUGUUAAACAAUGGAAAACAUCCUCUAGGAAAGUUUGAUGCUAAGAGUGAUGAGGCUAUAUUUCUAGGAUAUGCAUUGAACUUAAAAGCUUAUGGAGUCUUUAACAAAAGAUCUUUAAUCAUUGAGGAGUCUAUCGAUGUAGUUUUUGAUGAAUCCAAUGCCUUGCAAAGGAAAUUCCUGCUGAUGAAGAUGAUACGGCUGACCUUAAAAGACAAAUGGAAGAAAUGAUCCUAGAUAACAAGAAAAACAGUGAAGAAAAUUUCCCAAGAAGAGAAAUAGAACCUUCACCCUUAGAAACCUUGCAAAGGACUGAAAAUCUACAUAAUGAUCUUUCAAAGAGCUGGAGGUAUAUCACGGAUCAUCCACAAGAACAAAUCAUAGGUGAUCUUUCUCAAGGAGUUAGAACUAGGAGAGGAACUAGAGAAACAUGUGAAUUCACAACUUUCAUCUCACAAAUUGAGCUUAAAAGCUUUGAGAAGGUAAAAAAAGUAGAAAGCUGAAUUUUGGCCAUGCAAGAAUAGCUUGAAAAUUUGAGAGAAACCAAGUAUGGACACUAGUUUCUAGGCCAUUAAAUCAUCCCAUUGUAGGCACAAAAUGGGUGUUUAGAAAUAAGGUAGAUGAGCAAGGAAAUGUUAUUAGGAAUAAAGUUAGGCUAGUGGCUCAAGGGUAUAAUUAAGAGGAAGGCAUUGACUAUGAUGAAACAUUUGCACCUAUUCCUAAGAUAAAAGCCAUUAGAUUAUUGCUUGCAUUUGCAUGUUUCAUGAACUUCAAAUUAUUCCAAAUGGAUGUAAAAAGUGCAUUUUUAAAUGGCUUCAUUCAGGAAGAAGUCUAUGUUGAACAACCCCCGGAUUUGAGGACUUUGAAAAACCAGAUUAUGUCUUCAAACUUCAGAAGGCCUUGUAUGGAUUAAAACAAGCUCUAAGAGCUUGGUAUGAGAGACUCUCUAGGUUUUUAGUUGAGAAAAGAUAGAGUAGAGGAAGGAUUGACACAACAUUAUUUAUUAAGAAAUGCAUGAAUGAUUUAAUUGUUGUUCAAAUUUAUGUGAAUGAUAUUAUAUUUGGUGCUACUAAUGAGAAUUUGUGCUAGAACAUUGCUAAGGAAAUGCAGGGUGAAUUUGAAAUGAGCAUGAUGGGCAAAUUGAAAUUCUUUCUUGGCCUCCAAAUCAAGCAAUGCAAGGAUGGCAUCUUUUUAAACCAAGAAAGAUACAUUCAAGACAUGCUGAAAAGGUUUGAUAUACUGAAGCUAAAGUCAAUAAGCACUCCAAUGAGUCUCUUUACCAAGCUUGAUAAAGAUGAAAAAGGGAAGAACGUUGAUCAAAAGCUUUAUAGAGUUUUGUAGGAAAUUUGAUGAAAAAGGCUCAUUCGAUGAACAUCAAUGCAAGUAUGGUGAUAUCUUCAUUCAUAUAUGUUUUGGUAUUUUGACCAUAUCUCUCUCUACAAAACUCAAAUAAGGUCAUUCUUGGACCAAUAGAAUUAUAAGAAGAAAGACUACAACUUUUAAGUUUACCAGUUUUCCCAAUUCUGAUCAGAUCAUAGUCAAAAUGUUUGUCUAAUUUCAAGCACUGUAGCAGUACAUAUGGACUGAGUAUGAUGCAGUAUUUGGAGCAUAUCUUUCAAUCCCGAAGUCAAAUUAACAUGAUUCUAGGCCAUUAGAAAGUUAAGAUAUAGGGCUACAACUUUUAUGUUUAUCACCUUUCCCAGUUCAGAUCAGAUCAGGGUGAAAGUCAUAUUCGAAGUUGAUAAACCGUCGCAACACUAGAAGAAUAAGGCUGCAGUGCUGGUGAAAGGAAGCCCACCAUACAAUUUUCCCAAGAACUCAGCACUGCAGCAUUGCAGUACUACUGUGGCAAGAAUCCAACACCUCAGCUCCAAGAAAUCAAGGUCGCGACGCUGGGUUUUAAGGGGUAAGGCAACAAACAACUACUCUGGAGAUUUGAAGCCAAGAACAAAGCAAGAAAAGAAGAGAAUUAAAGGGAGAAUCAAGAUCACAAAGCUCCAACUAUUAGUUUUCUCU